rnacentral:siRNA from 1 species
CGACACUCUACACCGCACCCUC